rnacentral:lncRNA from 1 species
AAAUUAAUUCGUUUUCAUCUUGCCUUCAUCUAAAGUUCACCUGCAAUACAUAAGAAGUGAAUAACUGCUAGCAGAGAAGGCUGUUCUUGUCUGUAACUGACCCACUACCAUCAACCCUGGUUUUGAGCUGCUUGCAGCACCAGCUAUUGGCUGUGUAAAAAAUCUCACAAUGAUGCUAGACUGUUUGACUGAAACAUAUUACAAAGACAAAGCAAUAACUAGUAAUUCUGUGAUCCAGCAACUAUACAUAAUCCCAGUCAUCAGAAACAGUAUUUCUACAAUUGAAAACACAGUUAGUGAUGAACUCGAUGAUCGUUCAAAGAUGAGAAACAAAAUUGUGAGAGCAAUGCUCAUCUCCAAAAUGAUGUACGUAGUUAACGUCAUAAAUUUAAAGAUGAGCCCACAUUAAACAAGAUAGAAGAUAGGAAAGAGAACAAUAUUCGUGUCCAAAGACACCUUCAAGCCUCUUUUACAUUUAGUUGCCUUCUGACUAAAAUACUAUGUACUGAAAAUUUUUUGGAAACACUUCAGGUACAAAUGUGAGAAAUCUUUUACAACUUUAAAUGUGGACAUGAACAGUCUUCAAAAUCUUCUUCAUUCUGUGGAACAGUGUAUCAAAUUGAAUGUGCAAAUGCACAUCAUUGUAAAAUGUGAUAAAAAG